GCAUGUGUAUCUCGUGGAGCUGCACAUUUUGAGUGGUGAAAGGUCAAGGUCAUCCUUCAAGGUCAAAAUUUAAAAAAAUUGUAAUUUUCAUUUCUCCAUUCAAUCUCUUACUUACUUUCGUGCAGCUGCACAUUUUUAGUGGUGAAAGUUCAAGGUCAACCUUCAAGGUCAAAGGUCAAAUAUCAUUGUAUUUUUCUUUCCUAUAACUUUAACUUUCGUUUAAGUUUUAUCAUAACUUUUUAUGCCCCUGGAUCGAAUGAUCGGGGGUAUAUUGUUUUUGGCCUGUCUGUCUGUCAUUCUGUCCCAAAACUUUAACCUUGGUUUAAGUUUUGCGAUAUCUUUCGAAAUAUUGAACAUAGCAACUUGAUAUAUCUCAUGGAGCUGCACAUUUUGAGUGGUGAAAGGUCAAGGUCAUCCUUCAAGGUCAAAGGUAAAAAAAAAACAAAGCAGCACAAUAGGGGGCAUUGUGUUUCUGACAAACACAUCUCUUGUUGAUCCUUUAUUUUUUUGUUGAUAGUUACUUUUGGUUCUAAAAUAAUGAUUUUCCAUGAUAUUUAUACAUUUAUUGUGAAAGAAUAUCUUGCAAACUUAAAAUAGUGGGAAAGUUGUCAUCCAGGUUAUUACACAUUAUGUUGUAUAAUGCUAUAAGUAUACAGGUUUGACAAAUUAGUGCAGUUACAUGGACUUUUUUGCUUGCAGCGACAGUGACUACAAAAUUAGACUUACAAUUUGAUGGAUGCUUGAUUUGUAAUGAAUUUAAAGUUAGCGUUGAAUAAAUGGUAGUUGAUAGAGUGAGGUUUAUUUAUACUGAACCAAAAAGAACAAAUUUCAUUGUUAGGCAUAAGUUAUAUUUUAUCAUCACUUGCCUCUAUCCCAGGUCUCAAAUUCAUUAAAAAUGUUCACAUCACUGUGUGUAUUUGCUAUGCUGUACACUGGAAGUAGCUUGCAGCUAUUUGUAUCUCACAGGAGGUUACCGGUAUUAAGCCCACGCAGGCUUAAAACAGCAUGCAGAAACAACCAGAUUAUUCCUAGUUUUGAUAAAAGACAGUUAUAAUUAUAUUAUUGUCAUUUUUAAUGAACAAUAAUUUUAAUUAUGUAUUGUAAUGAUUACAUAUGUAAGUUUUUAUUUGUGAAACAACAUUUCAUAUUUUCUUGAGUGUAGUAUAAUGAAGAGAAUGUGGAAUAGUUGUAUCUUUGUGCUUUUCUGUGUUGUGACUUUAUUUUGAAAAUAUUUGUUUCUAUGUGAACCAAUUAAUGCAUGCAUGCUAUAAAAGUUGAUACAACAGUUUAAGGAGUGAAGUUGUUAUGCCUACUAUGAUAUAUACUUUUUUUCAGAUAUGCAAGAUCAUGGAUACAUAAUUUUGUUGGUGAAAGUAAUUGUUAGUACAAAAAGAAAUACAUGCACUUUCAUUACUGUUUCUUGUUGAGGAGUUAUAAAUGAAACCCACAUCAUGAAAUAAGUAAAUCACUUCUUUGUAUAAAACUGAAUUUAAUUUCAAUUGUAGAAAAUAUGAAAAUAUAGUUCUUUUAUUUUUUAAAUCAAUGAAAGUUUAACUUAUUCAUUACAUUUAUUGGGUCUCCAGUUCUUAAGAAGUUUGUUGAUAUGUUCAUGUCACUGGUGUUGGUCAUAUUUCAAGGAAUAAUUUGCAACAGUUUUAAAUCAAACUUGAUACAAGUUUGUACAAGUAUUUUAAUUACGAACAUUUGGAAAAAUCAUCAUUUCCGUUAAAGACAUAUUUUCAUGUGCAAGGAAGAUUUAUUUAUUUGAUAAAUCAACAUGUUUUGAAAUAGAGCCAAGAAAAGUUUUAAUUUUUGUCACUUUGGUUGUAUCUAUGUAAACCUAUAAGAUUUUUUUUUAUACAAUACCGGUAACUUGUUAAUGAUAUUUGAAUAAAUGUUAUACAUCUCAUUGACUGUUGUAAGUCAUGGUUAUUUUGAAUUAUUGUUUAUUAUUUGUUAUUGUAUCAUGCUUUAAGUAAUGGAUAUGGUUUUAAGCGGUUUAUUGUACUAUCUGGGUUUUCUUAAUGUAUGGUGCUGUAUUGGUUCACUUGAUAUUUUCUUUACAUUUUAAAUUGGUAUGAGCUACCUGCAAAUUUAUAUAUGAUGGGUGUUUUGUUGUAGUUUUUCUUUAUUAAAUUAAUGCAUUGAAGAAUAAAAAAACUCAUCCUGUUAACCUG